rnacentral:rRNA from 1 species
UUGAACGCUGGCGGAAUGCUUUACACAUGCAAGUCGAGCGGCAGCGCGGGGGCAACCCUGGCGGCGAGCGGCGGACGGGUGAGUAAUGCAUCGGAACGUACCUAGUCGUGGGGGAUAACUAUCCGAAAGGAUAGCUAAUACCGCAUACGUCCUGAGGGAGAAAGCGGGGGACCGUAAGGCCUCGCGCGAUUGGAGCGGCCGAUGUCGGAUUAGCUAGUUGGUGGGGUAAAGGCCUACCAAGGCGACGAUCCGUAGCGGGUCUGAGAGGAUGAUCCGCCACACUGGGACUGAGACACGGCCCAGACUCCUACGGGAGGCAGCAGUGGGGAAUUUUGGACAAUGGGGGCAACCCUGAUCCAGCCAUGCCGCGUGAGUGAAGAAGGCCUUCGGGUUGUAAAGCUCUUUCAGACGGAAAGAAAACGCAUCGGUGAAUACCCGGUGUGGAUGACGGUACCGUAAGAAGAAGCACCGGCUAACUACGU